UCACCAUCACACUGGGAGUGAGGAAGGAUCAUCACAUGCCCAUUUUAUGGAGAACAAGACUGAGAGUUGAAGAGACUUCCACAGUUCUGGAGGCUGGGAAGACCAAGAUCAAGGCACUGGCAGAUUCAAUGUCUGGUCCCAUUGAAAGCUGGCAGCCUUCCACGUUGGGACAGAGCAAUGUUCCUAGGUGUAGAAUGUGUUGCUUCCAGAUCCCAAAGAAGUC